GACGAACCGUGCGAACGUUAUUCGGAAUCACUGGGCUUAAAGCGCGUGUAGGCGGGACGGCACGUCGGUCGCUGAAAUCCCCCGGCUUAACCGGGGAACGGGCGCCGAUACGACCGUCCUGGAGGAACGUAGGGGGAGCUGGAACUUCCGGUGGAGCGGUGAAAUGCGUUGAGAUCGGAAGGAACGCCCGUGGCGAAAGCGAGCUCCUGGACGUUUUCUGACGCUGAGACGCGAAAGCCAGGGGAGCGAACGGG
rnacentral:rRNA from 1 species